rnacentral:rRNA from 1 species
GAUGAACGCUGGCGGCGUGCCUAAUACAUGCAAGUCGAGCGAACGGACGAGAAGCUUGCUUCUCUGAUGUUAGCGGCGGACGGGUGAGUAACACGUGGAUAACCUACCUAUAAGACUGGGAUAACUUCGGGAAACCGGAGCUAAUACCGGAUAAUAUUUUGAACCGCAUGGUUCAAAAGUGAAAGACGGUCUUGCUGUCACUUAUAGAUGGAUCCGCGCUGCAUUAGCUAGUUGGUAAGGUAACGGCUUACCAAGGCAACGAUGCAUAGCCGACCUGAGAGGGUGAUCGGCCACAGUGGAACUGAGACACGGUCCAGACUCCUACGGGAGGCAGCAGUAGGGAAUCUUCCGCAAUGGGCGAAAGCCUGACGGAGCAACGCCGCGUGAGUGAUGAAGGUCUUCGGAUCGUAAAACUCUGUUAUUAGGGAAGAACAUAUGUGUAAGUAACUGUGCACAUCUUGACGGUACCUAAUCAGAAAGCCACGGCUAACUACGU